rnacentral:tRNA from 1 species
GCGGACAUAUCGGUCCUGUCUUCUAAACAGGUUAACCGUAAUUUGGAUGAUGUGGGUUCGAGUCCCACUGUCCGCG